UGUAUGGAUAUAUAAAUAGUAUCGAGUUUUUUAAAUUGCUUUAAAUUAUUUACAAGAAAGUAAACCAGAGAAAGUGUGCAGACGCAGUUGAAGGAUUUCCAUCAUUUAAAAAAUUAUAUUUUUUGAAAUAACUUUUUGUUGCAGAUUUUAUACAUCAAGCAGAAGUACUUUAAAGUUCAAUUUGAAGACAAGGGUAAUGCAGGGCAACUACAAAAUUCAACGUAGGUAAUGCAGAGCUACUCCGAUGAAAAGCGACAUGAUGCAGAGUCGCAAUGCUUUUUUGUUCCUCCGGCCUCCAAAAUUGCAAAACCUUAUUGGAAAAAGUAUGUAAAAAGAAAAAAUAUAGUAAAUACAUAAUGCUUAGUACAUAUCGAUAACAAAGUGCGAUCUUUAUGUAAUCAAGAUACAAAAGCUGGCGUCAGAUUUCUUCAAGCAUAAGAUACUCAAGGAAUCCAGGGAUGAGGUACAACGAUAUAAAUCAAUGAAAACAAUAACAAAUACAUAUAUUUCUCGAAAUGUGAUACACUUUUACGUAGGUGGUCGUAUUUUAAUUCUCACAUGUUCUGUUUUCGUUUCAAUGGAUCGGAUGGCGUGUCAUUACGGACGCGGCGACGUCAUCUAAAUUCUUCCAUUUCUUCAUCUCUUUUUUUGUAUUUUUUUUUUGUUUAAAUCAAUUUUUCCUCCCUCUAAUCAUCGUCAUUAAUUCUAAUUGGAGCAAAGCUGUCGGUUAUGUCUAUCGUGUUUCUAAUUCUCUACGAUUUUCAUUAUGGUUUCCCUUUACUAACCUCUGACUCUGUGUGUGUGUGUGUGUGUGUGUGUGUGUGUGUGUGUUUGUGUGUGUACGCGCAAAGGCACGAACACGUGUAUUCUUUUGUUUUUGCAUCAUCGACCAUGCUAUUGCGCUUCUCGUUUGUCGCAUAUUAUUGAAUCGUGCCGACAUCCAAGAUCGGUCACUUAGGAAGCUAUGACGUAUUUAAUUAAUAGCAACUUGUACUAGAAGGUACUUAUAGAAAUAUGGAUUUUCGAGAAACAUGAACGAGUGUCUCUUUUUCUCUCGGUUUUACAAAUCUGACAACUAAUUUUGUCGCCUAUCGCAGCAAUCGGGAAACAAUUCAGAAUCCCUGCCUGCUUCUCCUUUUUUUUCUUCUUGAUUUUCUGUUUUUCCUUUGCAAUUUCUAUACGCUCAAGGUUACGACGCAGAGAUACAAAAAGGUUCUUUCUCGCUGGUGUGGGGAAAUUUCUGUCCGUUGUGUACGUCCAACCAUAGACUCGACGCGCUUGAAUAGUCUUUGAUACAAUUUAUAUAACAUUUCGAUGAAUUCUCUUUAUAGUUUUUGGUUAGGCUGCAUAAUACAAGAAAUGGCGCGCGCGCGCGCGCGUGUGUGUGCGUGGGCGUGUGUAUAUAUGCUACGUGACAAUUAAAUUUAAACAAUGAGUGUCGAUCGUCAUUAUGAUGCUGUCCAUUAGGGAUGUUUGAUUCCGAAUCGAAUUUCUAGAAACUCGAUCUUUCUUACAAUUAGAUGAUUAUCAACUUUUCAAAUUGAUUAGCAUUAUAUUAUACUACCCCCAAUUUUAACGGAAGAUCGGUUCCUUAGAGUAUCGUAAAUUUCUUUUGAUAUGACAAAACUCAUAGAAUGUUUAAUCAUAUUUCUAAAAUAAUAAUUAUUCAUCACUAAUCAAUUAGCUAUAAAAUUUGUAAAGUUUAGUGUAAAAAGACGCACAAAAUGUGCACUUUUCUACAGUGAAUGCUUUUUCUGUGCAAUAAACGGGAAUCCCCUCUUUUAAGGUUUAAUACCAGUGUUACCAAAUUAACGUAAAAUUUUUGUUUUUAAAUCUUUAUUUUUGGAAAUCUGUUAUUUUGGAAAUUGUGUAAAAGAAGACCAUGUAAAACGGGAGAUAAGUAUACUGGACAGUUGCAACCGAAUAUUAUC